GCCCCCCAGCCUCCGGGCCGCCCCCGGGCCCCCCAGCCUCCGGGCCGGGCCCUCACUGACCGGACCCUGGGAAGACUCUAAGCUUUUCGUAGAAAAUCGGGAGCCGGCCCAGUCCAGCUCCAGGAGUCUGCUCUGGGACGGACGAGGGCUCCAGGGGCCCAGGGGACUGACGAGGCGGCAGGGACACAUUUCGGGAAGGGAGCCCGCCGGGGAAUGAAGGCCCGGCCGGGAACGGGGCCCUUCCCCUUCCCCAGCUCAACCCGGCCAGGGGCAGCCCCGAUCUCGCGCUGGAAACCUCUCUGGGCAGGGCAGAGGGAGGGAGCGGAGCGGGAACGGGGCUGAGCUGCUCUGCACGAGCUCGGCCUCGGGUCCCGGAGCUCGGCCUCCUGUCCCGGGGCUCGGCCUCCUGUCUCAGCUGGCUUUAGGCGGUGCGGUGCGGGAAGGGGCAGAAAUGAGCUGCCUGCCCAGAUCUCGGAAGGGGACCGUGCGCGCCAAGGGGAAACGGGCCGGGUCAGGAGCGGCUGAGGCUGGACCUUGAGAUGCGCCCCCGAGGAGUGGGGCAGAGGCAGCCAGCAAACCCUCCCAUAAGCCACCAACAGCCCUCAGGGUCCUCCUGCGCGGCCCAAAGUGCUCUGUGUGGGCCGUGGGGAUAUGGAGCCCGAGGAGAACUCCUUUCUCCGGGUCGGGCUCCAAGGAAUGGAGGUCCAGUUCCUAACUGGGAGACAGUCCUCGCUUCCCAGCCUCUCUUCUCCAGCCUCCAGUCCAUCUCCCCCAGGGCCACCCACACUCAGCUCUGCUCAGGAAGCUGUGGCCCCUGCGCCUCCCGGGAGGACACAAACACAGCCUUUGGGGAUUUGGGGCCUUUCCCAGGCCAAGGCGGCAGAUCUGACCAGGUUUAUGCUCUCCUUGUAUUACACACUGACUGAACUACUCGCUGUUUCCUGCACAAGCUACCCUGCUGCCCACCUCAGGGUCUCAGUCCAGGCUGGCCCCAAGUCCUCCCCCAGCUCCCCCGAAGACUCAGCUGGGGGGCCCCUUCCCACAGGUGGCCCUUCCUGGGCCCUCCCGGACCCCCAGGCGUGGGAACUUCCCCCUCCUGGAUGCUUAUUUAUAUUACUUAUGAGGGCCCAAGCUGCUCCUUCAGCCACAACCAUCCUCAACACAACAGCUAGCUGCUAUUGCCGGAGCACUUUGAAGUGCUCCUUUACAAUCAUUCUUGACAUGAUCUUCCCAAGAAGCCUUCCAGGAAAGUGCUAUCACGUCAUGUUUUACAGAUGUAGAAACUGAGGCAGAGACAUGUUAAGUGAUUUCCCCAGGAUCAAAUACUAUUAAGUGAUUAAGACUAUUAUUGGAACCCCUACUCUCUGGGGUCUAGCACUCUAUGCCCUGCAACACUUUGAUGUCCCCUGGAGGGUAAGCUCCCUGAAGUCAAGAACUGUUUUUGUUGUUGUUGUUAUAUUUUUGUUUUGUUUUUAUUUAGUUUUGCUCUUUGUUUGCUUAGCCCCUAGAGUAAGAGCUGUACAUAGGUGGUACUUAAUAUAUGCUCCUUCCAGAUAUUCAUGGACAUGUAGGGGGCCCAGGGGCUAGAAUGCCCCGUCUGGAGUCAGGAAAAUCUAAAUUCAAAUCCAGCCUCAGACAAUAGCUGUGUGAUCCUGGGACUGGACCUCCUGAGCAAGGCUGGACCCUUCCCCUCCCCACAGUCUCCAUCCCUAGGGAAGAUCCCUGGCCUCAAUGCCUCAAGCCAGUGAAGAGGACCAGGAAGAAAAGGCAGGAGCUCUGUAAAAUACCUCAGAUCUGCAGGAUGUGAUGGUGAUAGAAGGCCCAGGGCAGAGCCUUUGCAUCCACCCAGAGAGAAGCAGCGGGUGACGCAGCACAGGAGACAGAGAAUGGGCAGUGGGCACGAGGAUGACCCCAAGAGCACAGGAACCGGCCCGCAGCGAGCCUCCUCUGGGGUCCUCACGUACAACACUGUAAAGUUGGCCAUUUCCCCACUCACACAUUCCCUCUUCUUCUCCUGGUGGCUUCUCUGACCUUCAAGUGUCACCAAACCCCACUUUCUGCAGGAAACCUUUCCCGGCCUCCUUCAGCAGGUUACUCUGUGUUCUGUCUGCUGUCUCCCCUGUGAGACUGCAAGCUCACUGAGGGCAGGAACCCUGCUUAGUCUCUGUCUUCCCGUCGCCAGCAAGCACGGGGCCUGCCACAAAACUGGUCCUUAAUAAACGCUUACUGACUUCAGCUGA